UACGUAGGGUGCAAGCGUUGUCCGGAAUUAUUGGGCGUAAAGAGCGUGUAGGCGGCCUUACAGGUCAGCUGUGAAAACUCGAGGCUCAACCUCGAGACGUCGGUUGAAACCGUAAGGCUAGAGUCCGGAAGAGGAGAGUGGAAUUCCCGGUGUAGCGGUGAAAUGCGCAGAUAUCAGGAAGAACACCAAUGGCGAAAGCAGCUUUCUGGGACGGUACUGACGCUGAGGAGCGAAAGCGUGGGUAGCAAACAGG
rnacentral:rRNA from 1 species